UGGGGCAGCAGGUCUGUAGCAAUACAGGCGCUGGCGACCGGCAAACGGGUGCGGAACACGUACACAACCUUCCUUUAAGUGGGGAAUAGCCCGGGGAAACCCGGAUUAAUACCCCGUAACAUAUAGAAGUGGCAUCACUUUUAUAUUAUAGCUCCGGCGCUUAAUGAUGGGUGUGCGGCUGAUUAGAUAGUUGGCGGGGUAACGGCCCACCAAGUCGACGAUCAGUAACUGGUGUGAGAGCACGACCAGUCACACGGGCACUGAGACACGGGCCCGACUCCUACGGGAGGCAGCAGUAAGGAAUAUUGGUCAAUGGACGCAAGUCUGAACCAGCCAUGCCGCGUGGAGGGUGAAGGUCCUCUGGAUUGUAAACUUCUUUUAUUUGGGAAGAAAUCUAUCUUUUCUUGGAUAGUUGACGGUACCAGAUGAAUAAGCACCGGCUAACUCCGUGCCAGCAGCCGCGGUAAUACGGAGGGUGCAAGCGUUAUCCGGAUUCACUGGGUUUAAAGGGUG
rnacentral:rRNA from 1 species